rnacentral:rRNA from 1 species
GAGUUUGAUCCUGGCUCAGGAUGAACGCUGACAGAAUGCUUAACACAUGCAAGUCUACUCGAAGUUAGCUUCGGCUAACGGACGGUGGCGGACGGGUGAGUAACGCGUAAAGAACUUGCCUUGCAGUUUGGGACAACAUCUGGAAACGGAUGCUAAUACCGGGUAUUAUGCUUUGACCGCAUGGUCUUAGUAUGAAAGCUAUAUGCGCUGCAAGAGAGCUUUGCGUCCUAUUAGCUAGUUGGUGAGGUAACGGCCCACCAAGGCAGUGAUAGGUAGCCGGCCUGAGACGGGUGAACGGCCACAAGGGGACUGAGACACGGCCCUUACUCCUACGGGAGGCAGCAGUGGGGAAUAUUGGACAAUGGACCAAAAGUCUGAUCCAGCAAUUCUGUGUGCACGAUGAAGUUUUUCGGAAUGUAAAGUGCUUUCAGUUGGGACGAAGAACGUGACGGUACCAACAGAAGAAGCGACGGCUAAAUACGUG